rnacentral:rRNA from 1 species
GGGCCCGCACAAGCGGUGGAGCACGUGGUUUAAUUCGAUGCAAACCGAAGAACCUUACCUGGGUUUGACAUGUAGGUGUUAGUGAGAUGAAAGUCGAGCGACCUUGGCUUGCCAAGGUGCCUAUGCAGGUGCUGCAUGGCUGUCGUCAGCUCGUGUCGUGAGAUGUUGGGUUAAGUCCCGCAACGAGCGCAACCCUUGUUGUCAGUUGCCAUCGGGAGAGCCGGGCACUCUGGCGAGACUGCCGCCGACAAGGCGGAGGAAGGUGGGGACGACGUCAAGUCAUCAUGGCCUUUAUGCCCAGGGCGACACACGUGCUACAAUGGGGCGCACAGAGGGAAGCGAAGGAGCGAUUCGGAGCGGAUCCCAGAAAGCGUUUCUCAGUUCGGAUUGCAGUCUGCAACUCGGCUGCAGUGAAGCCGGAAUCGCUAGUAAUCGCGGAUCAGCCAAGCCG